GUAUUUCCGAAUGCAUGAACAUGUUACAGUGUGGUCCUGGAACUUAUUGUGACUUCAGAUAUGGUCAUAGAGGUUGUUGCAUAAGAAUGGUUGCUGGCGGUUGACACUGUGACAGUGGAUUGGCUACAGAUCAUCAGAAAAUGACGAUGUAACAUGAUUAGAUAUUUUGUUUAAUUUGUGAUGCUAGUCAUUUUCCUGUCUACAAUUAAAAUCUUCC